rnacentral:rRNA from 1 species
AUGACUAUCAAUAAGAGCCAGGGAUAGACUCUCUCAGUUGUUGGAUUAUACCUGAAAAGCCCUGUUUUCACUCAUGGCCAGCUUUACGUGGCGGUUUCACAUGUGACUUCCAAGAAAAACUUGAAAAAGAUGGCACACUUGGAUCUCAGGCUAGAAACAUAG